UAUAUACAUUAUUACAACAUUAAUGCACCAGAUCCCAUUAUAAUUGCACAUUUAAACAUACUUGAGCUAGAGUAGUACUGGGAUGGGUGACUUCCUCAUAAGUCCUAGUGUUUACAUUC
rnacentral:rRNA from 1 species